rnacentral:tRNA from 1 species
CUGGCGAUGGUGUAACCUGGUAGCAUACGGGACUGUGGAUCCUUUGGUCCGGGUUCAAAUCCCGGUCGUCAGCCCA